rnacentral:rRNA from 1 species
UGGUGGAGUGAUUUGUCUGCUUAAUUGCGAUAACGAACGAGACCUUAACCUGCUUAAUAGCCCGUAUUGCUUUGGCAGUACGCUGGCUUCUUAGAGGGACUAUCGGCUCAAGCCGAUGGAAGUUUGAGGCAAUAACA